rnacentral:rRNA from 2 species
CCCCGUAUACAUAUGAUUCUCCCCCGCCAGACUCUUGAUACCGGGCCCCCGAGUGGUGAGUACACGCGGGGAACCUGCCUGUAAGACUGGGAUAACCCGGGAAACCGGUGCUAAUACCGGAUAAUCCUUUUCCUCUCAUGAGGAAAAGCUGAAAGUCGGUUUCGGCUGACACUUACAGAUGGGCCCGCGGAGCGUUCCCUAGUUGGUGAGGUAACGGGUCACCAAGGCGACCAUGCGUAGCCCACCUGAGAGGGUGAUCGGCCACGCUGGGACUGAGACUCGGCCCAAACUCCUACCGGAGGCACCACUGGGGAAUCUUCCACAAUGGACUAAAGUCUGAUGGAGCAACUCCUCGUGAGCCAUGAAGGCCUUCGGGUCGGAAAGCUCUGUUGUUAGGUAAGAACAAGUACCGGAAUAACUGCCGGUACCUUGACGGUACCUAACCCGAAACCCACGGCUAACUACAUGCCUACCUCCGCGGUAAUACCUAGGUGGCAAGCGUUGUCCGGAAUUAUUGGGCGUAAAGUGCGCGCAGGCGGUCCUUUAAGUCUGAUGUGAAAGCCCACGGCUCAACCGUGGAGGGUCCUUGGAAACUGGGGGACUUGCUGGCGGAAUAGGAAAGCGAAAUUCCACGUGUAGUGGCGAAAUGCGUAGAGAUGUGCAGGAACACCAGUGGCAAAAGGCGGCUUUCUGGGCUGUUACUGACGCUGAGGCGCACAAUCAUGGGGGAGCAAACAGGAUUAGAUACCCUGGUAGAUCCCCCCGUAAACCAUGACGGAUAAGAGUAAGAGGGGAUUCCGCCCUGUUAUUGCUGCCUCUAACGCAUUAACCACUCCCGCCUGGGGAUUCCGGUCGCGAGGCUGAACCUCAAGGUAAAUAGUCAGAGGGCCCUCACAGGGGCCGGAGCAUGUGGUGUAUUUGUAGAACACUAAGAACCAUUCCCAGGAUUGUCCUCCGCCUGCGCCUCCACAGAUAAGACGUUCCUUUUCCGGUAGCGU